UGUAACAACUGGCAGUUGUUUUUCUAAGGAUAUUGCUGUAAGAAUUUGUUAGUCUCUAAAGGGAAGCUAUGUUCUUUUUUAAUGUAGAAAAGCCCCUGAUCACAUGAAGAAUAAUUUUAAAAUGUUUUGUAGAUGAGUUGCAUGGGUAACUUGGGAAGUUUGAUACAGGAAUGCGUACUUUUUUAGUUCUAGUUCAGCUGGUCGCAUUGGCCCAAAGCUGAUAACCACUGAAGGCUGCUAGUCACUAGGAAGCAUCUUGGAGGGCUUUCGUAAGACAAGUUGCAGCCGCCCCAGGCAAUCUGCAUCCGGAACAGCAAAGGAAAACCUUCUCGAUAACCUCUGCAAAGGAAGCAGCUAAAAUGGAGGAGGACUUUCCCUUUUGGCUUAAAUCUAAGCAAGAUAUCCUACUGGUCCUGCUUAUGUCAUGGGGCCUUAGGUGGUCAUGGAAGAAACAGAUUACGUUACUCAAGCCAGCAGCAGCAGCACAUGCUCACCCCGCUAUCCAGCCAACAUUCCUCAACUCUGACCUGAGGACCACCUCUGGAGAUAAGAGUCCCUUCUUAUCAAUGCUGGUUGGAAUGCACCUUGAAAGUCACGUGAGAGCUUCAGGUUCAGAUGUAGUAAAGAAGAGGGAGUUUUCAUGGUGAAGAACUCAAUGUUGACUUUACAAAUGUACUGAUGGAGAACGUAGUUAAACCUGAGAAUAAUGAGGGCCAAAGGAAAAUCUUCUACCUCUUUCAGCUGUGACUUCUGCAAAGGUAAGAUUGAAAACCCUCAUGAGAAAUGAAAAAGUGAAGAGCUUAUCUGGAAUAUUUCAGUUAAAGAGCCAUAACUUCUACAAUGUAUUGUCAUAUUUGCUUUUUUGGUUUGCUAUUCAAAAGAGUGGGAUUAAUUACAUGUAAUUGCCACCCAGUAAGCUUUAAACAAUUUCCUUGAAAGUGUGAUUGUCUUACCUUACAGUUUGCUCUGCAAUUUCCAGUGGAUUACCUGCAGCUUUCUAAACAGGUAGCCAUACUCUCGCUGUUCACAUCAAGUGGAGUGUUAUUUGCUGGGAUAGUGAUGAAUCAAAAUGAAAUAAUCAUUUCAGUAUGGUAAUUACAUCAACUUUUAUUAUGUUAGUUCAGCACGGUUGCAAGUAUAAAUCUGCUAAAAAGGACAGGAAAAAGAUACAUACACAUGCAAUGUUUUUUAAAAGGCAUAGUCACUUGCUUAUGUUAAAAGCUGCUA
rnacentral:lncRNA from 1 species